rnacentral:lncRNA from 1 species
AUGCUGUUUGUUCACUACGUCAUCUAUUAUUUCAAUACAUUUUACAUAUCAAACAUCAUCGUCUGUCUCAUCUCUCAGCUGGAGGACAGCUUCUGUCUCAUCUUUCAGCUGGAGGACAGUUUCUGUCUCAUCUCUCAGCUGGAGGACAGCUUCUGUCUCGUCUUUCAGCUGGAGGACAGUUUCUGUCUCAUCUUUCAGCUGGAGGACAGCUUCUGUCUCGUCUCUCAGCUGGAGGACAGCUUCUGUCUCAUCUUUCAGCUGGAGGACAGCUUCUGUCUCGUCUUUCAGCUGGAGGACAGUUUCUGUCUCAUCUUUCAGCUGGAGGACAGCUUCUGUCUCGUCUCUCGGCUGGAGGACAGCUUCUGUCUCGUCUUUCAGCUGGAGGACAGUUUCUGUCUCGUCUUUCAGCUGGAGGACAGCUUCUGUCUCGUCUCUCAGCUGGAGGACAGCUUCUGUCUCAUCUUUCAGCUGGAGGACAGCUUCUGUCUCGUCUUUCAGCUGGAGGACAGUUUCUGUCUCGUCUCUCAGCUGGAGGACAGCUUCUGUCUCGUCUCUCAGCUGGAGGACAGCUUCUGUCUCGUCUUUCAGCUGGAGGACAGCUUCUGUCUCAUCUUUCAGCUGGAGGACAGCUUCUGUCUCAUCUUUCAGCUGGAGAACAGCUUCUGUCUCGGCUCUCAGCUGGAGGACAGUUUCUGUCUCGUCUUUCAGCUGGAGGACAGCUUCUGUCUCGUCUUUCAGCUGGAGGACAGUUUCUGUCUCAUCUUUCAGCUGGAGGACAGCUUCUGUCUCGUCUCUCAGCUGGAGGACAGCUUCUGUCUCAUCUUUCAGCUGGAGGACAGCUUCUGUCUCGUCUUUCAGCUGGAGGACAGUUUCUGUCUCAUCUUUCAGCUGGAGGACAGCUUCUGUCUCGUCUCUCGGCUGGAGGACAGCUUCUGUCUCGUCUUUCAGCUGGAGGACAGUUUCUGUCUCGUCUUUCAGCUGGAGGACAGCUUCUGUCUCGUCUCUCAGCUGGAGGACAGCUUCUGUCUCAUCUUUCAGCUGGAGGACAGCUUCUGUCUCGUCUUUCAGCUGGAGGACAGUUUCUGUCUCGUCUCUCAGCUGGAGGACAGCUUCUGUCUCGUCUCUCAGCUGGAGGACAGCUUCUGUCUCGUCUUUCAGCUGGAGGACAGCUUCUGUCUCAUCUUUCAGCUGGAGGACAGCUUCUGUCUCAUCUUUCAGCUGGAGAACAGCUUCUGUCUCGGCUCUCAGCUGGAGGACAGUUUCUGUCUCGUCUUUCAGCUGGAGGACAGCUUCUGUCUCGUCUUUCAGCUGGAGGACAGCUUCUGUCUCGGCUUUCAGCUGGAGGACAGCUUCUGUCUCGUCUUUCAGCUGGAGGACAGCUUCUGUCUCGGCUUUCAGCUGGAGGACAGUUUCUGUCUCAUCUUUCAGCUGGAGGACAGCUUCUGUCUCAUCUUUCAGCUGGAGGACAGCUUCUGUCUCGGCUCUCAGCUGGAGGACAGCUUCUGUCUCGGCUUUCAGCUGGAGGACAGUUUCUGUCUCAUCUUUCAGCUGGAGGACAGUUUCUGUCUCGUCUUUCAGCUGGAGGACAGCUUCUGUCUCAUCUUUCAGCUGGAGGACAGUUUCUGUCUCGGCUCUCAGCUGGAGGACAGUUUCUGUCUCGGCUCUCAGCUGGAGGACAGCUUCUGUCUCGUCUUUCAGCUGGAGGACAGCUUCUGUCUCAUCUUUCAGCUGGAGGACAGCUUCUGUCUCGGCUCUCAGCUGGAGGACAGCUUCUGUCUCAUCUCUCAGCUGGAGGACAGCUUCUGUCUCGGCUCUCAGCUGGAGGACAGUUUCUGUCUCAUCUUUCAGCUGGAGGACAGCUUCUGUCUCGGCUCUCAGCUGGAGGACAGUUUCUGUCUCAUCUUUCAGCUGGAGGACAGCUUCUGUCUCGUCUUUCAGCUGGAGGACAGCUUCUGUCUCGUCUUUCAGCUGGAGGACAGUUUCUGUCUCAGCUCUCAGCUGGAGGACAGCUUCUGUCUCAUCUUUCAGCUGGAGGACAGUUUCUGUCUCGUCUCUCAGCUGGAGGACAGCUUCUGUCUCAUCUUUCAGCUGGAGGACAGUUUCUGUCUCGUCUUUCAGCUGGAGGACAGUUUCUGUCUCGUCUUUCAGCUGGAGGACAGCUUCUGUCUCGUCUUUCAGCUGGAGGACAGCUUCUGUCUCAUCUUUCAGCUGGAGGACAGCUUCUGUCUCAUCUUUCAGCUGGAGGACAGCUUCUGUCUCAUCUUUCAGCUGGAGAACAGCUUCUGUCUCGGCUCUCAGCUGGAGGACAGUUUCUGUCUCGUCUUUCAGCUGGAGGACAGUUUCUGUCUCGGCUCUCAGCUGGAGGACAGUUUCUGUCUCGGCUCUCAGCUGGAGGACAGCUUCUGUCUCGUCUUUCAGCUGGAGGACAGCUUCUGUCUCGUCUUUCAGCUGGAGGACAGCUUCUGUCUCAUCUUUCAGCUGGAGGACAGCUUCUGUCUCGGCUCUCAGCUGGAGGACAGCUUCUGUCUCAUCUCUCAGCUGGAGGACAGCUUCUGUCUCGGCUCUCAGCUGGAGGACAGUUUCUGUCUCAUCUUUCAGCUGGAGGACAGCUUCUGUCUCGGCUCUCAGCUGGAGGACAGUUUCUGUCUCAUCUUUCAGCUGGAGGACAGCUUCUGUCUCGUCUUUCAGCUGGAGGACAGCUUCUGUCUCGUCUUUCAGCUGGAGGACAGUUCAUUAAUGUCAUUAAACUUCCUGCAGGUCGGUCCAGUAGCUCAAUUGGUGGAGAGCGUGUCCCAAAUACAGAGGCUGUGUCCCACAUACAGAGGUUGUGUUCCUUCGUACAGAGGCUGUGUCCUACAUACAGAGGUUGUGUUCCUUCGUACAGAGGUUGUGUUCCUUCGUACAGAGGCUGUGUUCUCUCGUACAGAGGUUGUGUUCCUUCGUACAGAGGCUGUGUCCUCUCGUACAGAGGCUGUGUCCUCUCGUACAAAGGCUGUGUCCUCUCAUACAAAGGUUGUGUCCCACGUACAGAGGCUGUGUCCUCUCGUACAGAGGCUGUGUCCCACGUACAAAGGCUGUGUCCUCUCGUACAAAGGCUGUGUCCUCUCGUACAAAGGCUGUGUCCUCUCGUACAGAGGCUGUGUCCCACAUACAGAGGUUGUGUCCCACGUACAGAGGCUGUGUCCUCUCAUACAAAGGCUGUGUCCUCUCAUACAAAGGCUGUGUCCCACGUACAGAGGCUGUGUCCUCUCAUACAAAGGCUGUGUCCUCUCAUACAAAGGCUGUGUCCCACGUACAGAGGCUGUGUCCUCUCAUACAAAGGCUGUGUCCUCUCAUACAAAGGCUGUGUCCCACGUACAGAGGCUGUGUCCCACGUACAAAGGCUGUGUCCUCUCAUACAGAAGCUGUGUCCUCACUGCAAGCCAUGAAAGCCUCCCAAAAAACCCUGAUAAACCUGAGUUGUUGGUCCUCGGCUCGCUCGACAGAGACGCCACUUUGAUCAGGUGA